GUGAGGAAUAUUGGUCAAUGGGAGGAAUCCUGAACCAGCCAUGCCGCGUGCAGGACGACGGCUCUACGAGUUGUAAACUGCUUUUGUACCGGGGUAAAAUGCCUUACGAGUAGGGUUUUGAAAGUACGGUACGAAUAAGGAUCGGCUAACUCCGUGCCAGCAGCCGCGGUAAUACGGAGGAUCCGAGCGUUAUCCGGAUUCAUUGGGUUUAAAGGGUGCGUAGGCGGGCUUUUAAGUCAGCGGUAAAAAUUCGGGGCUCAACCCCGUCCGGCCGUUGAAACUGGGGAUCUAGAGUGUGCGAGAGGUAUGCGGAAUGCGUGGUGUAGCGGUGAAAUGCAUAGAUAUCACGCAGAACCCCGAUUGCGAAGGCAGCAUACCGGUGCACAACUGACGCUCAGGCACGAAAGCGUGGGUAUCGAACAGGAUUAGAAACCCUGGUAGUCC
rnacentral:rRNA from 1 species